rnacentral:rRNA from 2 species
UGGGGAAUAUUGCACAAUGGAGGAAACUCUGAUGCAGCGACGCCGCGUGAACGAUGAAGGCCUUCGGGUCGUAAAGUUCUGUCCUAGGGGACGAUAAUGACGGUACCCUAGGAGGAAGCCCCGGCUAACUACGUGCCAGCAGCCGCGGUAAUACGUAGGGGGCGAGCGUUGUCCGGAUUUAUUGGGCGUAAAGGGUUCGCAGGCGGUCUCUUAAGUUAGAUGUGAAAGAUCACGGCUCAACCGUGGUAAGCAUUUAAAACUGGGAGACUUGAGUUAAGGAGAGGAAAGUGGAAUUCCUAGUGUAGCGGUGAAAUGCGUAGAUAUUAGGAGGAAUACCAGUGGCGAAGGCGACUUUCUGGACUUAUACUGACGCUGAGGAACGAAAGCGUGGGGAGCAAACA